rnacentral:tRNA from 1 species
CGGGACGUAGCUUAAUCUGGCAGUCUGCUGUACGUCAUGUGCAUCAGGUCAUAAGCAAUGGACUGUAGAGCGCGGCCGUCGAGACAGCUGUUCGCAGCUAUCCAUCGGUUGCCGGUUCAAAUCCGGCCGUCCCGACCA